ACACUCCUGCGGGAGGCAGCAGUAGGGAAUCUUCCACAAUGGGUGCAAACCUGAUGGAGCAAUGCCGCGUGAGUGAAGAAGGUCUUCGGAUCGUAAAGCUCUGUUGUUAGAGAAGAACACGUGCUAGGUAACUACUAGCGCCUUGACGGUAUCUAACCAGAAAGUCACGGCUAACUACGUGCCAGCAGCCGCGGUAAUACGUAGGUGACAAGCGUUGUCCGGAUUUAUUGGGCGUAAAGGGAGCGCAGGCGGUCUGUUUAGUCUAAUGUGAAAGCCCACGGCUUAACCGUGGAACGGCAUUGGAAACUGACAGACUUGAAUGUAGAAGAGGAAAAUGGAAUUCCAAGUGUAGCGGUGGAAUGCGUAGAUAUUUGGAGGAACACCAGUGGCGAAGGCGAUUUUCUGGUCUAACAUUGACGCUGAGGCUCGAAAGCGUGGGGAGCGAACAGGAUUAGAAACCCUGGUAGUCCCAUGAU
rnacentral:rRNA from 1 species